CCUACGGGAGGCAGCAGUAGGGAAUCUUUCACAAUGGGCGAAAGCCUGAUGGAGCAACGCCGCGUGCAGGAUGAAGGCCUUCGGGUUGUAAACUGCUUUUAUAAGCGAGAAAUAUGAUGGUAACUUAUGAAUAAGGAUCGGCUAACUACGUGCCAGCAGCCGCGGUCAUACGUAGGAUCCGAGCAUUAUCCGGAGUGACUGGGUGUAAAGAGUUGCGUAGGUGGCAUAAUAAGUAGCUAGUGAAAUCUGGUGGCUCAACCAUUCAGACUAUUAGCUAAACUGUUAAGCUCGAGACCGUUAGGGGUAACUGGAAUUUCUAGUGUAGGAGUGAAAUCCGUAGAUAUUAGAAGGUACACCAAUAGCGUAGGCAGGUUGCUGGGACGGUUCUGACACUAAGGCACGAAAGCGUAGGGAGCAAACGGGAUUAGAUACCCCAGUAGUC
rnacentral:rRNA from 1 species